GUCACGUGGCCGGCCUAGCGGCGCAGCGCAAUCGGCGCAAGCGCAGAUGCAGCGGCUCUGGGGCGGGCGUGCCGGCUGAGGCUGCCUUGGCGGUGCCGAAGCUGCUUUCCUUUCCUCUUCCUCUCCCUGGUCUUCUCUGGGUGGUUUACUUGGAGUGUUGUGCUCACACAGAUAUCUGUGUAUCACGUGCCUGACUGGUGCCCAUAGAGGUGAGAAGAGGGUACCAGAUCCCCUGAAAUUAGAGCUACAGAUGGUUGUGAGCUUCUGUGUGGCUGCUGGAAAUCAAAUCCUGGUCCUCUGCAAGAACAAGUGCUCUUAACUUCCGAGCUACCUCUCCAUUCCUGGUUAUGUUGUCUUUUAUUGCUUGAUGACCCUACUUUUGCCAAAAUCGGCUUUGGCUCAAACUUAAUAGACUCUUCAUCUGUGGUUCCUGUCAGUUUGUGUGUGUGCUUCAGUGGAGUUAAACACAACACCAUACAAACCAAAUAAGGAAAUGAAUUCUUUCUCUUGAUAGGUCAAAGUGCUUGUAAGUAAAAUUUAGAGUUAGCUUUUUAAAAAUGGUCUAAAGAUUUUAUUGCAGAACAGACUUUAGGUAGUAUCAAUAGCAAUGUACUCUUGGAAACUUUUUAUAAUUAAAUAGCCACUUAAUAUUUGAUAUAGUUUAGCCGCAAAAUAGUUCUGUCAGGGAGCAUGUAAAAAGCUCCA